rnacentral:rRNA from 1 species
UACGUAGGGGCUAGCGUUAUCCGGAUUUACUGGGCGUAAAGGGUGCGUAGGCGGUCUUUCAAGUCAGGAGUGGAAAGGCUACGGCUCAACCGUAGUAAGCUCUUGAAACUGUAAGACUUGAGUGCAGGAGAGGAGAGUGGAAUUCCUAGUGUAGCGGUGAAAUGCGUAGAUAUUAGGAGGAACACCAGUUGCGAAGGCGGCUCUCUUGGACUGUAACUGACGCUGAGGCACGAAAGCGUGGGGAGCAAACAGGAUUAGAUACCCGUGUAGUCCCU